UCCGGUUGAUCCUGCCGGAGGCUACCGCUAUUGGAAUCCGAUUAAGCCAUGCGAGUCGAGAGGGUUUAGCCCCUCGGCGGACGUCUCAGUAACACGUGGAUAAUCUGCCCUUGAGUGGGGAAUAAACUCGGAAACCUGAGUAUAAUACCCCAUAGGCCUAGGAUGCUGGAAUGCUUCUAGGCUCAAAGCUCCGGCGCUCAAGGAUGAGUCUGCGACCUAUCAGGCAGUAGUGGGUGUAACGGACCCACUAACCUUCGACGGGUACGGGCCUUGAGAGAGGUUGCCCGGAGUUGGACUCUGAGACACGAGUCCAGGCCCUACGGGGUGCAGCAGGCGCGAAAACUUCACAAUGUGGGAAACCGCGAUGAGGGGAUUCCAAGUGCUAACACUUUGUGUUAGCUGUUCACCUGCCUAAAAAGCUGGUGAAGUAAGGGCCGGGUAAGACGGGUGCCAGCCGCCGCGGUAAUACCUGCGGCCCGAGUGGUGGUCGUUAUUAUUGAGCCUAAAGCGUCCGUAGCCGGUUCAGUAAAUCUCUGGGUAAAUCGGGCAGCUCAACUGUCCGAAUUCCGGAAAGACUGCUGAACUUGGGACCGGGGGAGGUUGGAGGUACUCCUGGGGUAGGGGUGAAAUCCUGUAAUCCUAGGGGGACCACCAGUGGCGAAGGCGUCCAACCAAAACGGCUCCGACGGUAAGGGACGAAGCCCUGGGGCGCAAACGGGAUUAGAUACCCCGGUAGUCCAGGGUGUAAACGCUGCAGGCUUGGUGUUGGGGGUCCUACGAGGGCGCCCAGUGCCGGAGAGAAGUUGUUAAGCCUGCCGCUUGGGGAGUACGUCCGCAAGGAUGAAACUUAAAGGAAUUGGCGGGGGAGCACAGCAACGGGUGGAGCGUGCGGUUCAAUUGGAUUCAACGCCGUAAAACUCACCGGGAGCGACGGUUACAUGAAGGCCAGGCUGAUGACCUUGCCUGAUUUCCGAGAGGUGGUGCAUGACCGUCGUCAGUUCGUACCGUAAGGCGUUCUGUUAAGUCAGAUAACGAACGAGACCCUCAUCCUUAUUUGCUCCUAUCUCUUUCGAGGGAUAAGCACUAUAAGGAGACCGCUGGCGCUAAGUCAGAGGAGGGGGAGGUCAACGGUAGGUCAGUAUGCCCCGAAUCUCCCGGGCAACACGCGCGCUACAAAGGGCUGGACAAUGAGUUUCAACACCGAAAGGUGAAGGCAAUCUCGAAACCAGCUCAUAGUCCGGAUUGAGGGCUGUAAUUCGCCCUCAUGAAGCUGGAAUCCGUAGUAAUCGCGGGUUAACAUCCCGCGGUGAAUAUGCCCCUGCUCCUUGCACACACCGCCCGUCAAACCAUCCGAGUUGGGUCUAGAUGAGGGUGCUUCUACAUGGGGCGUUCAAAUCUGGGUUUAGCAAGGGGGGUGAAGUCGUAACAAGGUAGCC
rnacentral:rRNA from 1 species